CCAAAUUUCUCCUCUCGGCUUGGGUCAAAAAAUAAACUCUCUCCUGCCCAUUUCGGGACUGUUUGUACAACAGUCUCUCCUGAGGAAGAGAUCCCCUUCUUUCUCUGGGUGGUUUUCUGAUGCUACCUUAUUCUGUUGUUCCUAAAGCCCAGGUCAGCUCUGCAAGAUCAGCCCAGGAAGCCGGCGGACUGACGGAGGCUCUCCCUCAACCCAUGCUUCCAUGAACGCCACCAUGCUAGGAAGGAAAUUUGGCAUCUGACAGGUGGUCCUCGAGUGAGCAGGACAGCCGGCAGGAGAGAAGAAAGGAGAAAAGAAUACUCCCUGUAAAUCAUCAAAGAAGAAUUGGGAGCGAUUCUCCAUAUCACCUUCCAUCCACAGUCCCCACAAGGUCCUACUGUGAUGUUCCCGACCUUGGGGGCCAGUCUGGAUUCUUCAGGAACUUCAGGAACCAACAAGGCAUACGUGUCUGAUACGAGGCCAGGUACAGAGACCAUAUGGCAUGGACAACCCAACUUCUUCUUCUGUUCUGUGCUUUAACCCCCAGCACCCCUGAAGAGUUUGAAGCCAUGGCCUCUGGGCCAUGGGGAAGAUGAGCCCAUUUCCAUCCUACCACUCCUUACCCAAGAAGAGGGCUUGACUCUAAGUAAUACUGGCAUUCUCUUCCCUGUUUUAUUUUGUUCUCUUUGGGUGUGUAAGAUAGGAUUCAGACCCAUGCAUCCUACAGUAAAAUGUAGGUGAUUCACCAAUAGCCAAGAAUGGGUGUUUAUGCCUAAAUGCUGAUCCCCAAUGAAGUUAUAGACCCCCAUUCCUGAAACAUCAGCCCAAAGAAGGAACGAAAUUUUACAAGAAAGAACAUGACACAUAAAAUGGGUCCCUGCCCAGAAGAGCUUACACACCAACUCCUAUACGGGCAGGAGCGAAACAUGUUUUUCCCAUAUGGCAUGUUGCUGAGAUCUUGCUCUUAAUGGUAUAAAUCUUCGUAAAUCCUCCAGAUUGAAAGAUAAAUUGAGGGGAGCUGGUGUGUAUACCAGGAGGCAUUUUAGGCUGCCUGUGGAUAAUGUGACAAGCCCAGAGACUCAUGCUCUGAGUAACUGCAUGAAGGGUCCUGCCAGGAGGGGCAGGUGCUGCUGCUGUGAAGGAUGUCCCCUUGGACUGUCCUCUCUGAGAGCCACUAAGCCUAGGCAGCCACCUGGCCCGGCCCGGCCCACAGCCUACCUCCACGCAUCUUCCCUUUCUAAGAAGAGCAUGCCAGACAGGAGUUCUGUUGAGACCAGUCUUGAGUUAAGAUCAUGUUUGCAGCAAACUGGGCACACGCAGUCUAUGCUCAGUGAAUCUAUCUUGCGUGAGGAAAUAAAUUAACUAAUGCACCUGCAGAAAACAGCCCUUUCUUACAGGACCAACAUGAGAUUCGUCCUUGGUCACCUUUAUAAAUGAGUGUCUUACUUACGGUACACUCACCACGUGCGAUCAUUGAGUUGUCACGGGUCAAGCAGAAAGAAUCUUAGAUACCUGCUAGUCUGUCCAUUUCCUCUUCCACAGAAGAAACCUGAUGGAUUUCACCAAGCAGAGAACGUCUUCAUUGUUUGCCAGAAGAGGACCCCAGUAACCUGAAGACAAACAAUGUCCACAAGCCAGCAUAAGGACCACAGAAAAUCUGGCUGGGCCUGUUGAUGGUCUUCUGUAUUCAGGUCUUUGGGUUGUAAAUCCCUGUCUUGUGGUAAAUUCUAUAAGGUUAGAGAGUAUAUUCAUAGGUGAAGAAGAGAUCAGUUUGUAUUUAGGGGGUAGGGAGUAAAGAUACACCUAGCAUCAAGCAUUUCUUUUAAAUUCCUUUUACUUUAAAAAAAAAAAAAAGAUUUAUGUAUUUUAGAGAGAGAGAGAGAGAAGCAGUCUCCUCACUGAGUGUGGAGCCCUACAUGGGGCUCAAUCUCAUCACCCUGAGAUCAUGACCUGAGCUGAAAUGAAGAAGCGGUCACUUAACCAACUGAGCCACCCAAAUGCCCAUAAA